GGUCUCUUCGGAGAUACACGAGUGGCGCACGGGUGCGUAACACGUAUGCAACCUACCCUUCAGCGGGGGAUAGUCGCGGGAAACUGCGAAUAAUACCCCAUAUGCUCACGAACUGGCAUCUGUUUGUGAGGAAAGCUCCGGCGCUGAGGGAUGGGCAUGCGCCCCAUUAGCUAGUUGGCGAGGUAACGGCUCACCAAGGCAACGAUGGGUAACUGGUCUGAGAGGAUGAUCAGUCACACGGGCACUGAGACACGGGCCCGACUCCUACGGGAGGCAGCAGUAAGGAAUAUUGGACAAUGGGCGCAAGCCUGAUCCAGCCAUGCCGCGUGGUGGAUGACGGCCCUCCGGGUUGUAAACACCUUUUAUUUGGGGAUAAUGGUUUCCUAUAUGGAAGCUUGCAGGUACCAGAUGAAUAAGCACCGGCUAACUACGUGCCAGCAGCCGCGGUAAUACGUAGGGUGCAAGCGUUGUCCGGAUUUAUUGGGUUUAAAGGGUGCGUAGGCGGCUGAUUAAGUUAGUGGUGAAAUCUUCCGGCUCAACCGGAUACCCGCCAUUGAUACUGGUCAGCUUGAGUGUGUUUAAGGAGAUUGGAACGCGUAGUGUAGCGGUGAAAUGCAUAGAUAUUACGCAGAACGCCAAUUGCGAAGGCAGAUCUCUGGGACAUAACUGACGCUGAGGCACGAAAGCGUGGGGAGCGAACAGGAUUAGAUACCCUGGUAGUCCACGCCGUAAACGAUGAUCACUAGGUGUUCGGCCAUUAUGGCUGGGUGCCCAAGCGAAAGCGAUAAGUGAUCCACCUGGGGAGUACGUUCGCAAGAAUGAACUCAAAGGAAUUGACGGGGGCCCGCACAAGCGGUGGAGC
rnacentral:rRNA from 1 species